rnacentral:lncRNA from 1 species
AGGUACACACCGACGAAAACUGGUCAGACUUUAUGACCAAGGUAUUACCGAUCAAGAAGUUUGAAGAUUGCUGCAAAGGCACCGGCAUGACAACGGUUUCGGGCUAAGUCGGAAAGGGGGAGAUUUGUUGGUUUUUUCCUCCAUUAGCCCAAAACCCAAAAUUAUGAUCCAUAACCAAGAAGCCCAAGAAGAAGAAAUAUCUAAAGAAAAAUGGAGAAAGAUGAAGAAGUGUGUAGAAAAAGGAAGUGUGUAGAAGAUGAAGUGUGUAGAAGAUGAAGUGUGUAGAACUAACUUGUAGUCUCCACUUACUAGUAUAAAUAGGGGUGCUUAGCACCAUUUGUAAUCAUUCCACAUCAAGCAAAGCAAUAGAGAGAAAAC